rnacentral:rRNA from 1 species
UGGUGGAGUGAUUUGUCUGGUUAAUUCCGUUAACGAACGAGACCUCGACCUGCUAAGUAGUUGGGCGAAUUCUUUUUGGAUUCGUGUUCGACUUCUUAGAGGGACUAUCGGUGUGUAGCCGAUGGAAGUUCGAGGCAAUAACA